GUUUCGGUGGUUAUAGCGUAAGGGAAACACCCGGUCCCAUUCCGAACCCGGUCGUUAAGCCUUACCACGCUGAUGGUACUGCCAGAGGGAUCUGGUGGGAGAGUAGGACACUGCCGGACU
rnacentral:rRNA from 1 species